GCGCCGUUAGCCCAGUUGGAUAGAGCAACCGCCUCCUAAGCGGUAGGCCGCGGGUUCAAGUCCCGCACGGCGCA
rnacentral:tRNA from 1 species